CAUCUUUAUCAGCCACACUUCACAAUAUACCAUACCUCCCCAUUGUAGGAGACACAAAGAGCCCCUCAGUGCUUGAAAGCUCUCAGCUCUGCUCUGAGUUGAGCAGUGAGAAAAUGUUCUGUGUCCUUUCUUUUCCUUCCCAGGAACCUCCCAGCCUUACUGAGCCUCUGGUGAGUUUACACUGCCAGCUGUAAUCAGAGGUCGCUUGGCAAGAGCAUCACAGUGAAGUCUCUCUUCCAAGUGUGUGGGAGCUCCAGUUGUUUCAGAGUGACUCUUCCGUGCUGGCCUACAACUCAGGGUCUAGGGAUCGACAGAGCCCACCUGUUUGCUCACGGAAUGUCUGUUCUUUGCUGCACCAAUGGCUGAUGCUGAAAUGAGUUGAAUGCAGACAGGUCCAGAGGCAAGAGGAUGGAUGAAGUGACCUCUGAAUGCUCUUUCCUGACACAGGUGUGGAUUGCAUGAUAGGUUCUCUGAGUUCUGGCCUGCAAUCAGCCUGAGAACAAACUCUGCUGAUUUAGAAUGGGAAGGGAUGUGGUGG
rnacentral:lncRNA from 1 species